AUCUCGCUCUUAUUCCUGCCAAGUAAAUUUCAAUUUGCAAAUCAACUGUAUUUCUGUUGAUUUUUUUUUUUAUUUAAUAAAACAUAAAAUGAAUUAUGCACUUCAGUUUUUAUUGCCAAGUGGUAAUUAGAGAAAACAGUGCAUAGCGUAGCAUGGUAUAGUUGCGUACGCAGCUACACAUUAUCUUUUGAGUAAGGAGUUUCAUGGAACUGUUAUUGCUCUCGUAAUUAGAUAUGGGAUUUUUUCCCCCUUGUUUCCAAGCAUUUCCUGAAAAUUGAGGAUUCAGAAUAAGUGGCCUCCAGUAGUAGGUUGGGUAAUACUAGUGAAGCAGAAUAUCCUAAAAUUCUUAGUGGUGAGCAGCACAAUAAAAAAACUACUUUUUCCUUUUGCUUAAGAUAACAUAGAUUUGGUCAUUAAAGUUUCUAUAUGUAUAUUUUAAUGAGGUUGGAAAUUCCAUUGUUGAAAUUCUGAUUUUGAGAUUUAUUAAUUAGUUGAAUCCUUGUAGAUCCAUAAAUUCAAUUCCAUUGCAGAGAUCUGUACCUUAACAUGAUUAGACUGCAGUCCUUUUGUUGGUAAUUUUUGGUUCAUGAUGAAGAAUCACAAAAAAUGGUUGCAUAUCUCCAACAAAGAGAAAAGGUUAUAGGAAAUCCAUGAGGCGAAUCAAGUUAUGAAACUUUAAGUGUCCUAAAAAUGAAAAUACAAGAAUUUAGAAGAGUAUGCUAAACAAUUGGAUCAAGACCCAGAAGUAGAGUUGGCAGAAUCACAUACUGAACUACUGACAUGCAAGUUGCAACCCAACACCUUCAAUGGUGUUAUUCUCUCAUCUUCUGAGUACCCUUAUUUGGAAAUGAAGUAACAUUUCUAAUGUUUUAAUUCCACUAUUCUUCCCUGAUCUUUCAUUCCAACAGUCCACUAGUUUAACAGCCAAACAUGACAUGAUCGAAUUCACCUCAGUUCAUUGGCAAAGUAAUAUGACCAAAGUGAUUGGAAGCUUUCACAUACCAUGGGGGAGCCUUAUUCUUUAAAAUAUUAACUUCAUCUUUUUACACAUUUUUGCUAUGUUACUCGUAGACUUAGGAUGUAUUUGGUAUAAGGUUAAAAAAAUUAAUAGUUAAAUGGUACCUUUGUAAGUUUUAACCUUUAAAGAGGGU
rnacentral:misc_RNA from 1 species